rnacentral:rRNA from 1 species
GUCGAACGCUGGCGGCGUGCUUAACACAUGCAAGUCGAACGGAAAGGCCCUGCUUUUGUGUGGUGCCCGAGUGGCGAACGGGUGAGUAACACGUGAGUAAGCUGGCCUGGACUUGGGGACAACUUGAGGCAACCGGGGCUAAUACCGAAUAGGAGCUCCUGCUGCAUGGUGGGCGUUGGACAGCUUGGGCGGUUGGGGAUGGACGUGCGGCUUACUAGCUUGUGGGUGGGGUAGUGGCUUACCAGGCCUUGGAUGUGUAGCCGGCCUGAGUGGGUGACCGGCCAAACUGACUCCGAGAUGCGGCCCCGACUCCUACGGGAGGGAAAAGUGCGGAAUAUUGCACCAUGGGCGGAGGCCUGAUGCAGCAACGCCGCGUGGGGUAAAGCGCCCUUCGGGUUGUGAACGGCUUUUGCCUGUGGCCAAGCGUGAGUGACGGUAAUGAGUAGAAAAACACCGGGAAACUACGUA